rnacentral:rRNA from 1 species
GACAUCAGUCGCCGCGGGAAUACAGAGGGUGCGAGCGUUAAUCGGAUUUACUGGGCGUAAAGCGUGCGUAGGCGGCUUUUUAAGUCGGAUGUGAAAUCCCUGAGCUUAACUUAGGAAUUGCAUUCGAUACUGGGAAGCUAGAGUAUGGGAGAGGAUGGUAGAAUUCCAGGUGUAGCGGUGAAAUGCGUAGAGAUCUGGAGGAAUACCGACGGCGAAGGCAGCCAUCUGGCCUAAUACUGACGCUGAGGUACGAAAGCAUGGGGAGCAAACAGGAUUAGAUACCCCCGUAGUCCCUGUCUCUUAUAC